CCGGCAAACGGGUGCGGAACACGUACACAACCUUCCUUCAAAUGGGGAAUAGCCCAGGGAAACUUGGAUUAAUACCCCGUAACAUUAUGAAGUGGCAUCACUUUAUAAUUAUAGCUCCGGCGUUUGGAGAUGGGUGUGCGGCUGAUUAGGUAGUUGGUGGGGUAACGGCCCACCAAGCCUUCGAUCAGUAACUGGUGUGAGAGCACGACCAGUCACACGGGCACUGAGACACGGGCCCG
rnacentral:rRNA from 1 species